UUUUAGCCCUGACAGCAGCGAUAUCCUUUUCCUGUCCGCCGCGGCGGACAGGAAAAGAUAAAGCGUAUGGCGGGUCCCGAU
rnacentral:sRNA from 1 species